rnacentral:rRNA from 1 species
UACGUAGGGGGGCAAGCGUUGUCCGGAAUUACUGGGCGUAAAGCGCACGUAGGCGGAUUUGUAAGUCAGGGGUGAAAUCCCGGGGCUCAACCUCGGGAACUGCCUUUGAUACUGCAAAUCUCGAGUCCGGAAGAGGUGAGUGGAAUUCCUAGUGUAGAGGUGAAAUUCGUAGAUAUUAGGAAGAACACCAGUGGCGAAGGCGGCUCACUGGUCCGGUACUGACGCUGAGGUGCGAAACGUGG